UUUCAUCUAAAGUCAAGAUAACCGCUGGUACUGAAGAGCUGCAUUCUUUAAUAUGCCAUGUUCAUUUGACAAGGAGGGAAUUUCACUGGUUUUGUUUUUCAUUGCUUCUAUGGGUCAGGCAUUUAAUUUCAACAAGAGCUCAGUAACAAGUUCUUCAAAGGCAUAGCUGGUAGCCAGAUCCAACACUACAAAAAGAUGCCUCUAGCUGGAGGCUGUUUUCCUCUGUAUUCUGUCUCCCUUUACAGACUGCUUUCCUUCUGGGUGGCAAGAGGUCAAAAAGACAGCAGUUUUUCCUCUGACUGCGGACCUGGAAAGUUAGAGGCAUCUGUAUUAUGUCCGAACAUACUCACACUUAGCAAACAGCAGGGGAGUUCACCCAAUAACACACUUCUCUAUCUGUAGCUUUUCCCAAUUGGGAUGAUCUGCUCAGAGAUUAUGAGCUGAUGAAUUACAAGCAUAUGUCAAAUUAUAUCAAUUUUGACCAUAUUUUCACAUAAGAAUAAACAAAACAACAUAAAAUAUUUUUGACACAAAAAUUUAAAAUCCUCAUUUGUUUUCUUAAACAUACAUUUACUCACAUCCCUGACUAUUAACUCACUUUUAGCCCGUUUAAUAUUUCAAAGAUUAAAAUCACAGCCAACUGCUGCUGUCUCCCAUUGGGAAUCUGGGAAUCUGGGAAUCUGGGAAUGCAGUGGGCAUGUUGCUGUCUAGCUUAUGUGAUGUGAUAGGAAUUGCUGGGGAAUGCAUCUUUUUUUUUUUCUCUCUCUCUCUCUCUGUUUCCUCUGUCUCUGUCUCUCUGUCUGUCUGUCUCUCUCUUUCUCUCUCUCUCUCUCUCUUUCCUUGCCCAGGAACCCAGGAUUCCUGUCUUUCCCUGUAUAUUUCCUACUGUCUGGGGAGUGCUCAGGGUUGAAGGGAUUCUUUCUGCUCCCUCACCUGCCACCAUGCGUCUAUCAUACAUUUAUUGGUACUUUGGCCAUCCACAAUGCCAGCACUCUUUCUCCCAUGCGACUAGGUACUUAGGUGUCUGCAUCCAAAAGAGCUGUAACUGUUUACAUAUCUGGCCUCCAUGACAUUGCCCAUCAUAAUCAGAAAGUGCGUGGCACUGCUGGUCCCUUGGGAACAGGUUGACUUCAGCCUCAUCCUGAAUCUGUAAGGCAAUUGUGGUCAGGGUAUCAGGAGAAGGAUAAAUUAAUGGAACCAGAGAAAGUGUGCCAAUAAGUGUGUCAGGUUUGCAUUCAGGUUUGGGAGGCAUAGAGGCCGUUCCAACAACACCUUACUCAACCUUGAGAAGUAAUUCAAUGUCUCCUCUCACACACAAGCCUAAUAUGGUUGGCCCACCCAAGGCCCAGCUUUCAGGAUUCUUGGACACUUUCUUCUCAUUUUUGGAGGAGAGAAGACCAUAAUCUUGUACUGUUCUUGGCCUUUACAAAGCCCUAAAUCAGCUCUGUGAACUCCCAAACUCUUUCCCUUCCCUUCCGGAGGAGAGACCAAAAAAUAAAACAGCAUCUGAAGUGCUUGUUGUAUCUCUGCUCCUACGCUGGACUGACCACUAUCUUCUCAAUCCGUCUGUAACAGGCCGAAAAGUCCAGCAACAGUGUGAUCCACAUAUCCACUACCAAUUUUCAUCUCCAUCUGUCUGUGAAGCCUCUUUUGCUUCCAGAAAAUUAUGUUUCUCACAGAAUCUCAUGCUCAACAAGCCUUAAAAUUUAUGUUUAAUACCUAUACAGAGUUUAUUCUGAAAAUAAACACAUACACACAC
rnacentral:lncRNA from 1 species